rnacentral:rRNA from 1 species
AACGUAGGAGACAAACGUUAUCCGGAGUUACUGGGCGUAAAGGGCGUGUAGGUGGUUUUGUAAGUCUGGCGUGAAAUAUCUCGGCUUAACCGAGGCAGGUCGUCGGAUACUGCAAGACUGGAGGACGGUAGAGGCGUGUGGAAUUCCGGGUGUAGUGGUGAAAUGCGUAGAUAUGCGGAGGAACACCGAUGGCGAAGGCAAUCCCCUGGGCCUGCACUGACGCUCAUGCACGAAAGCGUGGGGAGCAAACAGG